AAUGAACGCUGGCGGCGUGCUUAACACAUGCAAGUCGCACGAGAACGCUUCAGCUUGCUGAAGCUAGUAAAGUGGCGCACGGGUGAGUAACGCGUGGGUAAUCUACCUCCAAAUUGGGGAUAACAUUGCGAAAGCGAUGCUAAUACCGAAUAAUAUCUCAAAUACUUCGGUUUUUGAGAUCAAAGGUGGCCUCUACAUGUAAGCUACUGUUUGGGGAUGAGCCCGCGUACCAUUAGCUUGUUGGUAGGGUAAAGGCCUACCAAGGCUACGAUGGUUAGCUGGUCUGAGAGGAUGAUCAGCCACACUGGAACUGACACACGGUCCAGACUCCUACGGGAGGCAGCAGUGAGGAAUUUUGCGCAAUGGGGGAAACCCUGACGCAGCAACGCCGCGUGAGUGAUGAAGGCUUUCGGGUCGUAAAGCUCUGUCAAGUGGGAAGAACCUGGUAAAGGUUAAUACCCUUUAUCACUGACGGUACCACUGAAGAAGCAACCGCUAAC
rnacentral:rRNA from 1 species